rnacentral:rRNA from 1 species
CGUGUAGGCGGCCAUGUAGGUCCGGUGUGAAAACUCGAGGCUUAACCUCGAGAUGUCAUCGGAAACCAUUUGGCUAGAGUCCGGAAGAGGAGAGUGGAAUUCCUGGUGUAGCGGUGAAAUGCGCAGAUAUCAGGAAGAACACCAAUGGCGAAAGCAGCUCUCUGGGACGGUACUGACGCUGAGACGCGAAAGCGUGGGAGCGAACA